rnacentral:rRNA from 1 species
GAGAGUUAAACAGUACGUGAAAUUGUUGAAAGGGAAACGAUUGAAAGAUGUGAUGUUUGAGACCGAGGAUUGCAACGGAUACCCUUCUGGGCUAUUCGUCUGAUCUCUGAAACGUUGCCUUGAUGUCGAAAGCUUGCUUAUGAUGUUAGGGUAUUACGGUCAAAAGGUUAGAACGGAUUAAAUUCGUUAAGGAUGUUGACGUAAUGACUUUAAACGACCCGUCUUGAAACACGGCUGUCUCUUAUACACAUCU